UUCAAGCUCGAUGAGCCUAGCCCAGCAGUGGAGGAGGUCAAUGAGGAGCAGCAGAAAGAGCCGGAGCGCGAGCCCGAGGAUGCGAAAGCCGAGGACUCGGAGUUCCCGGAGUUCGACAUCGUGGACAAGGGCGUCGAUGAGCCUAGCCCAGCAGUGGAGGAGGUGCAGCAGAAAGAGCCGGAGCGCAAGCCCGAGGAUGCGAAAGCCGAUGACUCGGAGUUCCCGGAGUUCGACAUCGUCGACAAGGGCGUCGAAGGGCAAGAAGAGAAGGAUAAUCCUCCGAAGGAAGAGGCCGAGGACAAGAAAGAAGCCAAUGAGGAGG
rnacentral:lncRNA from 1 species